UACAGACGGUCCAAACGUUAUUCGGAAUCACUGGGCUUAAAGAGUUCGUAGGCGGUCAGGAAAGUGGGGUGUGAAAGCCCUCGGCUCAACCGAGGAAUUGCGCUCCAAACUCCCUGACUUGAGGAGGCUAGAGGUAAGCGGAACUGAUGGUGGAGCGGUGAAAUGCGUUGAUAUCAUCAGGAACACCGGAGGCGAAGGCGGCUUACUGGGGCCUUUCUGACGCUGAGGAACGAAAGCUAGGGGAGCGAACGGG
rnacentral:rRNA from 1 species